rnacentral:lncRNA from 1 species
AUGUCAGAAGUGGGCUGUCCCAAACAUGGAAAGAUGGAGAAAAGCUGCUGGCUGCUUCCUUCCUCCACUCUUCUUCAAGUUAAGUGUGAGAUGAAGUCCAAUAGAUUCUGCUCCAGCCUCUUACAUUUACUCAGUGUGUGUCUACCUGUCUCAAAUGUGUUUCUUGUAAACAAUAUAUGGUAAGAUUCUGGUUUUUAAUCCAUUCUGCUAUCUGCUUCUAUUUAAUGAAUGAGUUCAUCCCACUUACAUGUCAAGACUUCUCUUGGUAAAAUGGGCAGAUGAGAACAAUUGGUUCCAAUGGCCAUGAAGGGGGCUAAACAGACCCUGUGGUGUACUUUGAACUUGGUCACACAUCAAAGAUACCAAGGCCAUUCACUGCACCUGGAGCCAUCACCAGCUGUCCCCACUUUUGUCUUACCACUAGAAGCUGAUGACUCCGGAAGACAGUGAGGCUGAUAACUUUGUGGAACUGUCUCACUUAAAUCCAAUACAUAUACAAGUCAAGACCUCAGAAUGUGAUGUCCUUAGUCUUCUUCGAAAACAAAGAACAAACAAUAAUAGUCUUAAUAUCUAAAUGAGGGAAAGUAGUAACACAUAGAAAGAAAACUAAAGGCCAAAAUCAUUAAUGAACAAUGAUUCAGCAAUUUAGACAGCAUCCUUCACAUGGAUUACAGUGAUUUAUCCAAGAAGUUAUUCAUUAGAAUCAAUUGGGAUUUAUACCAGGGACGCAAGGAUAAUUUAAUAACAGGAAAACAAUCAAGAUAAUUAAUUGUAUUUAAAACCAAAACAUCCAAAAUACAUAAUCAUCUUACUAGAUUUUUUUUAAAAAGCCUUUGACAAAGUAAAACUUUUUUUAUGCUAAAAGACCACCCCCUAUACAGUAGGAAUACAGGUGGACUUUUAAAAUAUAGAACCAUGUUGGUGAAGACAUGGCAUGCGUGUCCCAGUGUGCUAAGGGGCUGCUCUGUUCCCACUCUUCACGGUGCCUGAGAAAAUUUUUUUGCAUGCUCCGCCCCUCUGUCUAGCAGCUGAAUGCUAGCACUUCCUCCCUCUGCUCUCUGGAAUAAUAUGGUUGGGGGGGGGGGUGACUCACAGAUGACUUGAAGGUAGAAUUUGGGCAUGUGAUCUCUAAAAGGUUCACCAAUGCUGCACUAGAACUUUUCCCAAUAAAUAAGGACAUUUAGCAAGGAUAAUCA